rnacentral:tRNA from 1 species
GUAGCUCAAUGGUAGAGCCCCAGCCUUCCAAGCUGGCCAUGCCGGUUCGAUCCCGGUC